UUAAUGACUAAUUAACUAAGUAAAUUAAUUCAUCCAAUUUAACUUUUAUUAAGUCUAUAAAGGUUUACAGUUAGACGGCUUCUUUAUUAGGUACAUUGGAAUUAUAGGGAAUAAUGAAUGAAAUAAAAUCAAGUAGGUACGUUACUAUAAACAGCGGCUUAGCUGUGCCUUUAGCAUUUUUGAAUUUUAUAAAUUGGGUCACAUCUAAAUACUGGGGCCAGAAAAUAGUACCUAGAUUUUUUUUUUAUUGCUUAGAUGCGUGGACGAGCUCAUAGCCCACCUGGUGUUAAGUGGUUACUGGAGCCCAUAGACAUCUACAUUAUUAUGUAUGCACUUAUAUCGCACCCUUAAAACAUAAAUGGCACUAUACAAAAAAUGCUAUUUUUUAGUUAAGUAUAGUGUCAAAAUGCGUAAGACGAAACGCGCCUAAUGCAAAGACCCCUGUAGCUCUAAUGCGCUUAAUUUUCGCUAGAUGUUGCUAGUGUCACUUAUGAAUUUGUAACAACUUGCACGGUCGAUAAUUAAUAAACCGGCACUAUGCCAGAUCGCGACAAGUCACCGGAGGGAUCCCUUGUCGAGGUGAGUAAAAAACUGGCACAUUUCGUUAAGUGUCACUUAUUAUAUAAAUAUAUUUUCGAAUAUUUACACUGAGUAAGUGCAUAAGUGGCAGUUUGAGUUUAACGUCAGUUAUUUAAUAACUUUAAUUAGGAUUUUGUUUUCAGUCUUCUACAAGUCAACGAUAAAUUGUUUGAAUUUUACCAUCUCUGAGCUUGCAAGACAUAACACUGAAUGUUUUUUUCUGGGUAGAAUCAGAUAACUGCUGCGGCCAGCAGAAAAAUCAUCUUGCAUAGAUGUACAUACCGAUGAUGUGCACUUAACUGAAAAGUAACAUCUAUAACACACAAGUUUUAAAUCCGUGGACACACACAGAACGAAGGAGAUGCAGCACAUUCAACGAUUGAGCAACAAAUAAAAAUAAUACUUAAAUCUGGACCCAUUUAUGUGCCUUCCCAGUACGUAACCGACAUCAGAAGUGCAAAAAAACAUGGCACACCAUUCAAAGUAAACGAAAUGGCUUAUAACGAUUUCAUUGACAUCAAACAACUGCCCGUUCCUAGACUGAAAAAAAGCGUUGAAAGUGAGCUUGUAAAGGUGUCUGAUAUAAAAGUCAUCAAAGUGGUGAAAGUUGAAGAUAAUAAGGUAAAAUUUUGUUACAAAACAUCCUCCGUUGAUGAUUUCAAAGAACUUAACCUGGGAUCUAAAAGAGCCAGUGCAAGGAACCAGAGGACUGAAGAAUUGCAACAUCUGUAUAACCAAAAGUGAGAUUUAUACGAAAGAAUGAAGAGUGACGUGAAAAGCCUUUUAGAUGCUGGUUUGAUACCCAACUUUUACAAUUCCUACUUUGACAGAGUUUUGAACUAGGUGGGUAGUGUCCAACCUUUAAAAAAUGUAGUUGAUUAAUUAUUAUUUGUAAGAAGAGGUUUUUGAUAGGUGUUUUUUUUUGUGAUCUAUUUUACGGAUUUUUGUGCGGAAAUGUUUUUAAGUUACUGUCACUUUAUUAAUAUUUUUCUCGGUUCUAGAACUUGAUGUUUAAAGACCGAAUUGCUAAAAGACGACAGGUACUUACAUAAUUCAGUUUUACAAGAUUUUAUAGGAUGUACCUACCUACAUGAUGUUGAUACAAUAUUUUUUAUAAUUACUUACGGUUUUUUUGUGAAAAACAAUAUUUUUAAGUUAAGUACCUACUGUAAGUUAUAAUAAAUAAUAUUUUUGCUG